ensembl:lncRNA
AUGUCAGAGGAGCGAGGAAAGGACUCUCCAUCUGAGAUGAGUGUCUCAGUGGAACAGAGGGAAAGAUCAGACUCUGAGGUUUCCAGCUCUGAGUGUGUAAAGAGUGAUCAGUUGAAAGUUGAUGUACCACUUUUCAAUGAGGAAACAUCUACCAAAAGUAAAAGAUCAGGUUCACUUGUGUCCAGCUCUAUGAAAAGUCACCAUUCAAAAGGUAACAGACUGACCUUCAGUGAGAAAGCCCCAUCAUCUUCCAAAAGAAAAAAAUCAGGCUCUGAUACGUUCAGCUCUGUGUCUGUGAAGAUUAACCAUUCAAAAGGUGAUGGACCGAACUUCAGUGAGAGGAAAAUAUCUACCAAAAGUGUAAGAUCAGGCUCACAUGUGUCCAGCUCUGUGUCUGUGAAGAGUAACCGUUCAAAGGGUGAUGUACCGAACUUCCGUGAGGAAACACCAUGUAACAAAAGUGUAAGAUCAGGUUCACAUGUGUCCAGCUCUGUGUCUGUGAAGAGUGACCAUUCAAAGGGUGAUGUACCGAACUUCCGUAAGGGAACACCAUGUAACAAAAGUGUAAGAUCAGGCUCACAUGUGUGCAGCUCUGUGUCUGUGAAGAGUGACCGUUCAAAGGGUGAUGUACCGAACUUCAGUGAGAAAACACCAUGUAACAAAAGUGAAAGAUCUGAAUCGCAUGUGUCCAGCUCUGUGUCUAUGAAGAGUGACCAUUUAAAGGGAGAUAGACCAAACUUCAAUGAGAAAACACCAUCACCUUCCAAAAGUAACAAAGGACAGAAGACCACAGUAAAUAUUGGUGCAGAAAUUACACGGUGGGACGCUCUUAAAGCACAGAAGGGAUUGAAGAGUGAUGUGGAACUGGCAGCAUUUCUUCUCAACAGGGUUAAGUUUGAGAAAUCGGACUCAAACUACAAGAAUUACCGCAACCACAAGAAUUUCAGAGAAAAUCUCUUCUGGAUCUUCAAGGAUCUUGAGAAAAAAAUAACUGCAUUUCUGAAGAAUGAGCUGGAAAAGUUUAAGAAAAUAUUAAAUAGAGAGAAUACACAGUACUUUGUGCAGGACUUUACAGAGAAAAUGCGUGAUAUCAAAGAAGCAGCUCUUGAUAUGACACUCUACUUCCUGAGAGAUAUGAAGCAAUAUGAGGCUGCAGAUGCUCUACAAGAUGAGCUGGUCCUCAUUCAUCAGCGA